GAGUCCAAGUAACACCCCCAAGGCCAUCCUGGUGAAUCUGGGCUCUGCUGGUGGCAACGUCUCAAGGCAGACAGUCCAACGGACACUGCACACUGCUGGGUUCCACGGACGCAGACCAAGGAGGAUGCCACACAAAAGCAGCACGGCACACAAAAGCCUGCUUGGUCUUUGCAAAUGCUCAUCUGGACAAAGAAGAAGACUUCUGCUCUUCUGUUUUAUGCAUGCAGCCAAGAGUACCUGGUGCAGACAACAUGGCAGAUCUCCAUUCAAGAAUACACAAGAGGCGUCUCCAAGCAGCCUUGUCUGUCGAGGUUAGCGGAGGCUGCAUCUGCAAACGCUUCGGUCGCACCUUCUCCGGGGAGCAUGACAGAAGGAAUCCUUCAAGGCCUGAGCAAGAGGUGUAAACGACUGGAGCCUCAGCACUGCAGGUUUUAUGUGGCUGACAGUGGUGGUAAGUUGGAGCAAGGCCAGUGCUUGUUGGAAGGUGAUCACUAUACAGCUGUUGUUGUUGUAGCUUUGUUACUUGCCUUCAGGAAAAGCGAAGCAGAGAAAAUAAUUUACAAGAAGAUCAUUUAUUAACAGCUAAAUCCUUUAUUAAUUACACAGGCAGUUUAUUGUAAUUAAUUGGGGUUUAUUUGUGUGUCAGCAUGGGACAAUCAGCAAUAAACAAAAAAAGUUGAUCACCCGCACUGCAAAGUUUGUCGUGUCCUUCACCUCACUGAGGUUCUACCUCAAUGUCAGCUGCGAUCGGCUCAAGCUGAAUUGAAAGAGGCGGAUACCAAAUGAUUGCUGACACAGUUAAGGGACUAAAUUGGUAAGUCAUGGAUGAAAUGCAUCACGGAUGCACACAUAAAGACUAAGAAGCAAACCGCCAGUCACAUGCAGAUGAAGACCUAGAGAUAGUGCUGAGACAUUUGAAGGAAACAUUUGUAUAAUUCUGACUUUGCACUUUGUCCUCAUGAGUAAGGCGAGUCCUUACAAUGUGACUGUAUAAACAGAUUUUGUCCCCAGAACUACUGCGUCCACAACAGUGUAAGACAUCAAGCCCAGACAGCAAAAGGCAGAUGCUGCAGCACUCUAUGUUCAAUCAUCUGUAUUAAUAAACUACCAAGGGCAGGUAGAGUAUAAAUAAGUUGUGUGUUCUAUAAACUUCUUUGCCUCAGCAAGCAA